GGGAGGGUACUGAAGAGAUGCUCAGAAGCUUGGACGCUGCAGAAGCAAGAGGUCACUGGAAGUUUUAAGCAGGGAGGUGCUGGACAUCAGGAAGACCCAGACCUCCCUCGGCUCAGGUGGCCAAUCUCUAAUAGUCAACAAUGGCUCUCAUCUGCGGAGCACUCACUGUGUGCUGAGCAUAGUCUAAGCUCCUUGCCUGUGUGGAAUCCUUUCAUCUUCACGAGAGCCCCAGGAGGAAGUGCUCCCUGUCUUUGAGAUGGUGGCUUGAUACACAGGGCUCAAAACUGAAUAAAUAUUGCUGAGGACGCCAGGGUAUUAUCACUCCACUGUGCACAUCAUGCCUGAACACAGAGUCUUUGAAUUUCUUGGCAUCUCUGAGAUGAGUCAUGCAUUUUAUAGAAAUUGCAAGAUGGUUGAGUUGCAUGAGGCCAGAAAGCAAGCUCAGAAAUACCACGAAUCCAGCACCUGGAGGCUGCCAGAACCUCCUGGCCUGCUGCCUUUCUCUCCUCCCUCACUGUACCAGGUAUAAACAUUAGUAGCAGAGAGAAGUGAUGACCCCUUGAGAGGAAAUGUGAUUGAAGCCAAAAGCUGGAUCUUACCUCUAAAGGGACUCGCUCGUGCUAGUCAAGCGCUCUACUGCUGCCACAACCCCAGCCCCUCCACAGAGUUUUACAGUCUAAUCUUCAGGAUAAAGUUGUGAUCAAGUAACUGAUAAGCUCGAGUUCUGGACCCCCAAAAGACCGCCAGAGAACAAGAUCCAUAAGCUGAGAAAUAGGUCAGGACUUGGGUUGUGAAGAGGCUCCCUGCACCAAUGACUAGAACCAGGAGCAGUUUCAUUUAGUGGCAAGAUACUUCAUUGUUCUUGGCUCUCUGUCUCUGGCCCUGACAGUUUAUAGCAACAAGGGAAGUCAUCAACUAAUUUGUGUGCUGUAUCUGAAUAAACGUUUCUUAUGAUCAUGA